CUUCCAUGUUAGGAUUAAGAUAAUAUAGAUGGACAAGCAUGGAAGCUGUGUAUAUUAGUCAAAUAUCUCAUAUUCGAUUUUGGUUAAUUAUUGGAUAUAAUGCAACAACUAAGUGCUUUAAUUAAAAAACACAACUAUAAUGUCACAUCAGUUAGGAUUUAAAAAAGGAAAACUAUGAAAAUGGCUUAAAAACUUUGAGUUUUAACGAUAAAGACAAAAUAAAGGGUAAAAUGAAUAGUACUAGGAUUGACUUUUUAGUGAAAAAAUGUGGUUUUUCAUUAAAGUGAACAG
rnacentral:lncRNA from 1 species